rnacentral:tRNA from 1 species
GUGGGUAGGGCUUAGUGGUAGACCGUGUGAUUGGCAUGCAUGAGGUCCUGGGUCCAAUCCCCAGUACCUCCA